AGCAGCCGCGGUAAUUCCAGCUCCAAUAGCGUAUAUUAAAGUUGUUGCAGUUAAAAAGCUCGUAGUUGAAUUUCGGGAUCAGUUGGUCGGUCGUGCCUCGGUACGUACUGGUCAAAUUGAUUCCUACCUUCUGACGAACCACGAUGUCAUUAAUUUGGUGUCGCGGGAAAUCAGGACUGUUACUUUGAAAAAAUUAGAGUGUUUAAAGCAGGCUCGCGCUUGAAUACAUUAGCAUGGAAUAAUGAAAUAGGACGUUUGAUUCUAUUUUGUUGGUUUCUAGGAUCGACGUAAUGAUUAAUAGGGAUAGUUGGGGGCAUUAGUAUUCAAUUGUCAGAGGUGAAAUUCUUGGAUUUAUUGAAGACUAACUACUGCGAAAGCAUUUGCCAAGGAUGUUUUCAUUAAUCAAGAACGAAAGUUAGGGGAUCGAAGACGAUCAGAUACCGUCGUAGUCUUAACCAUAAACUAUGCCGACUAGGGAUCGGAUGAUGUUAAUUUUUAAUGACUCAUUCGGCGCCUUAAC
rnacentral:sRNA from 1 species